UAGGAUGACCAACUGUCCUGGUUUGCCAGGGACUGUCCUGAUUUUAGCAACGAAAGUCUCGUGUCCCUGGAAACAACAUAGUCACUGGCAAACCAGGAUGGUUGGACAUCCUAACUGAGG
rnacentral:pre_miRNA from 1 species